rnacentral:rRNA from 1 species
AUUGAACGCUGGCGGCAGGCCUAACACAUGCAAGUCGAACGAGUGGCGGACGGGUGAGUAAUGUCUGGGAAACUGCCCGAUGGAGGGGGAUAACUACUGGAAACGGUAGCUAAUACCGCAUACCAUCGGAUGUGCCCAGAUGGGAUUUGCUCGUGGGGGGGGUAACGGCUCACCUAGGCGACGAUCCCUAGCUGGUCUGAGAGGAUGACCAGCCACACUGGGACUGAAGACAGGGCCCGAAUCCGACGGGAGGCAGCCGUGGGGAAAUUUGCACAAUGGGGGCAAGCCUGAUGCAGCCAUGCCGGGUGUAUGAAGAAGGCCUUAGGGUUGGAAAGUACGUUCAGCGAGGAGGCGUUACUCGCAGGAGAAACACCGGCUAACUCCGUGCCAGCAGCCGCGGUAAUAC